AGGGAUCGAGGAUGGCAGCUCUGGGGCAGACGAGGAUGUGCUGGGCGAGUGGGACGACGCAGAGGAUGACAUGUACAAGGCCCGGCUGGAGCUGUGGCAGGCGCGGCGCGGCGCUCUCCGCGCGGCCGACAUCGCGCCCGGCCAGGCUCCCGGGGCGGCCGCGCCGGCGGCCGGCGGAGGGAACGCUGCGAACGGCGGUGCAACGUCGGGUGGCGCUGAUGUGGCGGACCAGGAGGACGUCAUGGCUGAUGUGGCCUUCGAUGGGGGCUUCAAUGUCCCUGGCGACAUCUACCACCGCCUCUUUGACUACCAGAAGACAGGC
rnacentral:lncRNA from 1 species